rnacentral:lncRNA from 1 species
GCCGUAAGGUUUGCAGGCCUCCCCCGCCCUCCGCCCUUCCUUGUUUUGGUUCACUCUCUUGGCUUCCUCCUCCGCUGUCGCAGUUCCAGAAGAUGCGUCCAGCCACAACAAAGCUCUGAGGACCCGGGGAGCAUUUCUUCCCAGGGCUAUCACAAGUGAGAGAACGCUUUCCAGAAACCUCCCAGGAAGACUUCCCUUCACAUCUUGUUGGACAGAAGUGAGUCACAGUCUCAAACUAAUUACUGUGAGAUGCCUCAUAAGGAAGAAGGGGCCACACUCCCGCCCAGGAUGCCUGUCCCUAACCCAGUGCUUCCACAGACCCAGCCCAUCAGAUUCAGGGCUAUCCCAGGCACAGGGAGGCAAUACCACUCGUCUGAAACAGUAACUUCCACUGUGGGCAAAUGAGAAAGUCAAACCUCAUGCCUUUUGAUCAGACAGGACGGAGUAUUUUUAUGGUCAAGCGGCCAUGUAGCAGUAGGAAGAAGACUGAGAAACUGGGACGCAAAACACAAACUCAGCCACAGUGUUGCGAGCGUUCUAGGAAGGGCCCCACCCCUGGGAGGCAGCGCGCUGAGCAGGUCCCGCAGGCUGCAGUGGAGUCACAGUGCGCAACGCCAUUGUAGAGCAGGUGCCUUGGUGUUGCCCACGCCACAAACAUGUUAUGGGACCCUGACAGUCUCUCUCUCUCCACAUCUGUUGCUUUACCUGAAAUAGGGUUCCUUUCCAUUUUCUUGCUCCACUUUUUUUUCCGAGACAAACCAGAAAGCAUCAGUAAAGAAAUCUAAGUUUCUACAAGUUACUGCCAACUUUCAUGAAAUCUGUGUAAUUUUAAAUGUCUUUUAACCAUUGCCAAGAUAAGAAGCAAAGGAGUCAGGUUUCUCUUCCGCAGGUCAAAUGCAGCCGCCCAUCUGUUCAAGCCUGCGUAUCAGGACCUGGAAGCCCCAUGCAGACCCAUCUACUCUGUCAUUCUUUUCAUCUGUUGCUUUUCAAUCGGUAUGGUUUUUCCCUACCAUUCUGAAUUCAGGUUUCACUACAUUAUACUUUUUUGGCCUCAUAAAAAUGAGGCACAAGGUAUAAUAUAUAUGGCUAAUUUUAAAUUUAAGCAAUGCAAGUAGAUAUUGAAUGAUAAAAACAUUUAAAAUCCUCAUUCUAUUACUCAUGUAAGAGGAUCAGCGGAGUCUUUCAGAGGAAGAGCAAGGUUUUAAAGCCAAAACCACAAAGGGAAGGGUGUACCUGAGUGUUAGUAUAUAAACCUUUCACUCUGAUGGCUUGAGGUCAAGACUUGGUUAGUUCAAAAGUGAAUGAAUGUUUGGAUUCUUCACCUCCUACCUAGUAAAUAUUUAUUCCGAUUAUAAAAUGGCAAGAAACACUGGCACAACCAACAUUCUCUGCUUGAGAGAAGCUAC